CCAAAUAGUGAUAGUACGUUAAAAUCAUCAGUUCCCGAUGGUUCACUGGAGUUAAGCAAAGUUCCGUGUAGUUGGUAUCCGGAUGGAUGACCAUCUGGGUAAUCGCGUGCUGCUGGUU
rnacentral:rRNA from 1 species